rnacentral:snRNA from 1 species
UGUCCUUCGGUGGCUAAGAUCAAGUACAGAGUCUGUACUUAUCAUUUUAAUAUCUGUUAUGUUCUCUCUGUGAGAACUCUAUUAAAUGAACAUUUAGAACAAGGAGAUGGAGCAGGAGCUUGCUCCAUCCACUCAUUGCAUCAACCUGGUAUUGCAGUAUUUCCUAAUACUGGUGGUGUGAUG